GCCAGACUCCUACGGGAGGCAGCAGUGGGGGAUAUUGCACAAUGGGGGGAACCCUGAUGCAGCGACGCCGCGUGGGUGAAGAAGUCAUUCGUGACGUAAAGCCCUAUCAGCAGGGAAGAAAAUGACGGUACCUGACUAAGAAGCCCCGGCUAACUACGUGCCAGCAGCCGCGGUAAUACGUAGGGAGCGAGCGUUGUCCGGAAUUACUGGGUGUAAAGGGAGCGUAGGCGGGACUGCAAGUUGGGUGUCAAAUCUACCGGCUCAACCGGUAGCCGCACUCAAAACUGCAGUUCUUGAGUGAAGUAGAGGCAGGCGGAAUUCCUAGUGUAGCGGUGAAAUGCGUAGAUAUUAGGAGGAACACCAGUGGCGAAGGCGGCCUGCUGGGCUUUUACUGACGCUGAGGCUCGAAAGUGUGGGGAGCAAACAGGAUUAGAUACCCCAGUA
rnacentral:rRNA from 1 species